GACAGAGGGUGCAAACGUUGUUCGGAAUUACUGGGCGUAAAGCGUGUGUAGGCGGCCAUGUAAGUCGGAUGUGAAAGCCCCGGGCUCAACCCGGGAAGUGCACUCGAUACUGCGUGGCUUGAGUACCGGAGAGGUUGGUGGAAUUCUCGGUGUAGAGGUGAAAUUCGUAGAUAUCGAGAGGAACACCGGUGGCGAAGGCGGCCAACUGGACGGAUACUGACGCUGAGACACGAAAGCGUGGGUAGCAAACAGG
rnacentral:rRNA from 1 species